CACGUAGGGGACGAGCGUUGUCCGGAUUCAUUGGGCGUAAAGCGCGCGUAGGCGGCUCGGAAAGUCGGUCGUGAAAUGCCGGGGCUCAACCCCGGGACUGCGUCCGAUACUCUCGAGCUGGAGGCAGGUAGGGGAGAUCGGAAUUCCUGGUGUAGCGGUGAAAUGCGCAGAUAUCAGGAGGAACACCGGUGGCGAAGGCGGCGUUCUGGACUGCAACUGACACUGAGGAACGAAAGCCAGGGGAGCAAACGGG
rnacentral:rRNA from 1 species